rnacentral:rRNA from 1 species
CCUACGGGAGGCAGCAGUGGGGAAUUUUCCGCAAUGGGCGAAAGCCUGACGGAGCAAUACCGCGUGAGGGAGGAAGGUUUUUGGAUCGUAAACCUCAAAACUUAGGGAAGAAAAAAAUGACGGUACCUAAUAUAAGCAUCGGCUAACUCCGUGCCAGCAGCCGCGGUAAUACGGAGGAUGCAAGCGUUAUCCGGAAUUAUUGGGCGUAAAGAGUCUGUAGGUGGCACUUCAAGUCUGCUGUCAAAGACCGAAGCUUAACUUCGGAAAGGCGGUGGAAACUGAAGAGCUAGAGUAAAGCAGGGGUAGAGGGAAUUCCCAGUGUAGCGGUGAAAUGCGUAGAGAUUGGGAAGAACACCAGUGGCGAAAGCGUUCUACUGGGCUUAAACUGACACUGAGAGACGAAAGCUAGGGUAGCGAAAGGGAUUAGAUACCCCUGUAGUCCUAGCGGUAAACGAUGGAUACUAGGCGUAGACCUGUAAUGGGGCUGUGUCGAAGCAAACGCGUUAAGUAUCCCGCCUGGGGAGUACGCACGCAAGUGUGAAACUC